CACCGGCCCUCCCCUGCUUGGCCCUGCCACCGGCCCUCUCCACCUUGGGCCCUGCCACCGGCCCUCCUCUCCUGGGCCUGCCACCGGCCCUCUCCAUCUUGGGCCCUUCCACCAGCCCUCACCAUGUUGGGCCCUGCCACCGGCCCUCUCUAUCUUCGGCCCUUCCACCGGCCCUCUCCAUCUUUGGCCCUGCCACCGGCCCUCCCCAUCUUGGGCCCUUCCACCAGCCCUCACAAUCUUGGGCCCUGCCACCGGCCCUCUCUAUCUUUGGCCCUUCCACCGGCCCUCUCCAUCUUGGGCCCUGCCACCGGCCCUCUCCAUCUUUGGCCCUUCCACUGGCCCUCUCCAUCUUGGGCCCUUCCACCGGCCCUCUUUACCUUGGGCCCUGCCACCUGCCCUGUUUUACAGGCCAGCACCAUCACUCACUCACUUCAGUCACUCACCAAUGGCUGUUUCACUGUUAGUGGGUAGCACUUAGUAUUGUACUGGGGGCAGAGAUGCUAGGUGACCAAUAGGGCGUGUGAUGGAGCCUGUGGUACAUGAUGAAUCUAUGAGAUGAUUUCAUCUCUCCUGCUGAUGCCACAAGCUUUAUAGUUACUGGCACCUCAGCAACUCACCUUUCGGUGCAAUUACAUAGGCUGCCUGCAUCAUUUCUGAGCCAUUUCUUUCUUUUCUUUUACUUUUGGCCUGGUUUGUGCUUUUAUGACUUUUUUGUGGGUGAAUCAACAUAAUUGUGGUGCAGCUUUUGUAUUUGGUGUCAUGAUGUAAAAAAAAUAAGCCACAAAUGUAUUGCAUCUCAUUCUAUCUAGGAGAAGUUGCAAAUAUUCUGCAGGUUUUGUUAUUCUCUAGGAUUUUGGUAAAAAUCAGACCAAAUGUCUUUUUCCUUUCUUCCAUGCCAAAACGCGGACUUUUACGAGGAAUUGCAUCCAGAAUUCUGCAUACAGUAAAGCAAGGAUAGCGCCUCUAAAUGCCAAAAGAAUGUCGUUAUCCGAGAAACAAUGGCGCCUCUGGACACCGUGUGCAGACCUGGAGCAAAUAAGCAGCCUCACAUUCCAGUUGUGCAAGUAGAAAGCCAUGGAUUCAAGCCUAAGGAACCACUUGCACAAUGAAUCACACACAAACCUACUGAUCUGACUUUCCAAAUCCCACAGACAGGAAUGGGAAAUUACUUGUUUCUCCUCAUUUUCUGUGUUUAUUUCUUUUUUCCAUUUUGAUCUAAUCAUUGUUUAACUAUUGAUUCCCUUUUCCUGUAAAACUUUUAUAAAUGAAUAAAAAAAUGAAAAAGAAAA